rnacentral:rRNA from 1 species
CAUUCACUUGGGCACUCUAAGGGGACUAGCCGGUAAUAAUCCAAAAGGAACGUGGGGAUGACAUCAAUUCCUCAUGGCCCUUACGGGCUGGGCUACACACGUGCUACAAUGGUGGUGACAGUGGGCAUCGANACCGCGAGGUCAAGCUAAUCUCCAAAAGCCAUCUCAGUUCGGAUUGCACUCUGCAACUCAANUGCAUGAANUUGGAAUCGCUAUUAAUCGCGGAUCAGCAUGCCGCGGUGAAUACGUUCCCGGGCCUUGUACACACCGCCCGUCUCACCAUGGGANUUGGUUUUACCCGAAGGCGCUAUGCUAACCGCAAGGACGCAUGCGAACCACGGUAGGGGU